rnacentral:misc_RNA from 1 species
GUUGUGUUUUGAAUGGUUUAAGUUAUCGUCUUCUAUUUUUAAUACUUUUAACAACUCACUCGAAUUAUAUGUUAUAAUUAAUUUUGUUAAAUUCAAAUUGAUGUUUACCAAGCCCUGUGUUAGCAAAUUACACAAAUGUAAUGUGCAGCAAUGGACACAAAAAGUGAGUUACAUUUCGAAUGUCUUUGUCGUACUUGCAUGUACGAAGUGCCUGAGGCGAACUCUUUUUCCGCUUCCACCAAUGAAGCUGCAGAACAACAAUUGCAAUCUAUCUUUACUACCGUAGCUGAAUGUGGUACAAUGCGCAUUGCAGAUCUGCUAGCAAGAACUAUGCCACAACUACAACUAAACUUAAGUGAUGAGCUGCCGCAGCACAUAUGCCGGGUAUGCCUACAGCAACUGCUGAGUGUGUAUCGCUUUCAACAGAUGUGCAUACAAUCCGAAAACCAAUUCCAAGAGUGGCUAGCUAAGCGAUAUAUUGAUUUGAAACCUAUAACAGAGAUUGUUUCGGAAACAAAAGUGUUUACACUACCGGAACCGGUGCUAGACACUAUUGAAACUUCAAAUAAUGUAAUAACAUCUUUAAAUGUGGAUGAUCCACUCCAGAGCAUUGCUGAAAUAAUUAAAAUAAAUAAAGAUGAGUCGAAUAAUAUUAGUGUGUAUCUUAAAAGAGAGAUAAGUGAUGAUGAUGAUGUAUGUACUUCUGGUUAUACUGUUUGUGAAGUCUCAGAACCAAACGAGCAACUUGUUUCAACACAAAUUAAAGUCGAAAUUGAAACGCCAAUAGCAGUAGCAGAAACCACAACCACCAGCGAUGAAGUCUCAAGUCUUGAGGAUGUUGAUAGUGAAGAGGAUAAAUUGACAGCAAAUGCUUUAUACGAAACGACAGUCAAAACCAAUAUUUCCAAAGACCGGUCUUCGCAUACAUGCACACAAUGUAUGAAGUCCUUCGCUACACGUCGCUACUUGCUAAGACAUUUCAGACGUCAUAAAAAAACAGAUGGACAAAAAUGCGACAUACGUGGAACACACUUCAAAAAAGCGGAAACAUUACAAAAACAUAAAGAAACACAUAUUGAGAACACAGAAGAAUUAAAUGCCUUACCCGCAAUGAACUAUGGUUGUGAUUUGUGUGAUAUGAAAUAUGGUUCACAACGCACAUUGACAAGACACAAACGACUGCAGCAUGGUGUAGAAAAUCCGGAAGUGACACCUAAGCCCUACUCUUGCGAAUAUUGCAAAAAGAGUUUUCAGCAAUCGAGCACACUGAAGGAUCACAUGCGCACACAUACAGGAGAGCAGCCGUACUUGUGUUCUGAAUGUGGAAAAGCAUUUAGUAGUUCCAGCAAUUUGAAACAACAUUUAUUACGACACACUGGUGUUAAGCGAUAUGAGUGUCCUGACUGCCCGAAGAAGUUUCCCUGUCUCAGCGAUUUAGCUUCACACAAAGCAGUGCAUCUACAGAUCAAACCACAUGUAUGUGAUAUUUGCGGCAAUGCAUUUGGUAAAGGAUAUCAAUUAAAGAAGCACAAAAUGUAUCAUAAUGGUGAAAAGCCACACAAAUGCGAAUAUUGUGAGAUGCGUUUUGUAUGCAUGGAUCACCAGCGUCGUCAUAUGCGCACGCACACGGGAGAGAAGCCCUACAAAUGUAAAUACUGUGAACGAGCCUUUGCCCAAAGCAACGAUCUAAUCAAGCAUUUACGCACACACCUCGGUGAAAAUGUUUAUAAGUGUGAACUAUGUCCCAGUGCUUUUCGUUUGGCAACGGAGUUGCGCGUACACUUUGCUAACCACAAGAAUGACGAUGAGGCGACGCAAACGCGAAAUAUGCAAGCGCUUACCGAAGAGGAAAAUAAGAUGAAAAGUCGUUCGCAACCUCAACAAGCGCCAUCGCCGUAAUAAUCAAGAUAAGGGCAUGGUUUAUGACUCCAUUACUUACAACUAAAUAGGGAAAGGAAAAAGUACUUAUAAAAGGCACAUUAAGAAGUUUUUCAGUGUUAUGCCGUUGCCCGCUUAUCUGACAAGUUGAUCCAAUCAGGCACACGAUCAGUCUUUACAUAAGCCUCUUUAGUAAGCG